rnacentral:rRNA from 1 species
CAGCCGCCGCGGUAAUACGUAGGUGGCAAGCGUUGUCCGGAAUUAUUGGGCGUAAAGCGCGCGUAGGCGGAUAUUUAAGUCAGGGGUGAAAUCCCAGAGCUCAACUCUGGAACUGCCUUUGAUACUGGGUAUCUUGAGUAUGGAAGAGGUGAGUGGAAUUCCGAGUGUAGAGGUGAAAUUCGUAGAUAUUCGGAGGAACACCAGUGGCGAAGGCGGCUCACUGGUCCAUUACUGACGCUGAGGUGCGAAAGCGUGGGGAGCAAACAGGAUUAGAUACCCCAGUAGUCCCUGUCUCUUAUAC